GUCCCAGCACAUCACAGCUCAGCUUUUGACGCUACUCCUUUCUACCCGAUGUUUUUAGUAAUGGCAUCUAGUCAUAGUUUUCAUCUAGUUGUGGAGGGGAACGCCUCCCCAGAAUAUCUGCCUUCUCAUUUUCCCCAUGAGCUCAGUGUCUACUUAACUCAUAGCAACCUAGUAAACGUCUCAAGUUAACACCGCCAAGCUGGAGCUCAAGUCAUGUCCCCUUAGUCUCUAUCAACUGAAGUAGGCACCCUGAAUCACCCCCCACCCCGUGGUUUCCCACCACUCUGCACCUUGACCUCUGAGCUCUAGCCACAGCUGCCUUCUUCCCAUGCCUCCCUCCUUAUCUUGGCAGCAUUGUGAGUGCUAAUUCUGCUGCACAGCAGGCCCUGCUCUUCCGCUUUAUGCCGGCCUCCCCUCAGGUCUCCAGUUAGUGCAGGUCUUCUUUGAUGGCCUCCUCUGAAGCACCCCAACCUUCUACCCUAGAAUGCUGUCACCUUCCCUGCAGUGUGUUCACACUGCAUGGCACUCUAGUGUGUGCCCAUUUACACUACAUCAUCUGUUUCUCCUUCUGAAUCUCAAGCUCCGCGAUCGGGAAGACUCCAUUGUGUUACCGCUGUACCGGCCCCUCCACUGUCUAGCAUACUAAAGGUCCUCACUAACUAUAUUUUAGAUAGAUUACACAGGAAAAAAACUGAAGAGAAAUAUUAGAGAGCCAAAAGGAGUGAGAACCAAGAAGUUACAGCAAUGGUCCAGCCCAAGCAAGAAGCGGGUGAGCUGGACCCCAACAAAGAACAGCAGAAGCUGAGGAUCUGGAUCCGCCAGUAAAGGGCCUGCUGUAUGGCCGCUGAGGACCUGGAUCCACUAGUAAAGGGCCUGCUGUAUGGCCGCUGAGGACCUGGAUCCGCCAGUAAAGGGCCUGCUGUAUGGCCGCUGAGGACCUGGAUCCGCCAGUAAAGGGCCUGCUGUAUGGCCGCUGAGGACCUGGAUCCGCCAGUAAAGGGCCUGCUGUAUGGCCGCUGAGGACCUGGAUCCGCCAGUAAAGGACCUGCUGUAUGGCCGCUGAGGACCUGGAUCCGCCAGUAAAGGGCCUGCUGUAUGGCCGCUGAGGAUCUGGAUCUGCCAGUAAAGGGCCUGCUGUAUGGCCGCUGAGGACCUGGAUCCACUAGUAAAGGGCCUGCUCUAGGCCGCUGAGGAUCUGAGUUUGAUUCCCACCACAUAAAUCAAAAUUCAGGUGUGGUGGGGUUUGCUUGUAAAUCAGAGCACUGGUGAGGGACAGGUAGAUCUACUUGGAGCUACUCAGCCUAGCCUACUUGGUGAGUUCAAAGCCAGCGAGAGCUCGCAUCUGAAAAGACAAGGAGGAAAACUCCUGAAGAAUGACACCAGGAUUGUCCUCUGGCCUGCACGUGCACACGCAUAUGGUUAUGUGUACCGAUCCACACAAAAACACACAGAAGAUGCCCCAGCAGCCAAACAAGAUGUGGGGUGAGACUGGAGGAUUGUAUCUGGAGGAACAGAGGAAGAGGAGCAGAUCUGCAGUCAGCCUACCCACCUCUCUGGCAGGAGUCUCUUUUCUGUGCAAUGAGGAAGUGCAAGACUUACCUAAAGUCCUGGCUGGAGUAGUCUGUGAGGCUGGACCAUCUCAACCAUUGGUCUUGAAGCUGUUCUGGAUGCAGAACUCUGAGGAAACUGCAACAGAGGCACUCUGAGCUGCUGGAUCACCUAGGCUACCCAUUUUCAUUGGUGUUUGGUCUCCUUGCUCUGAAAACACAUACACUUUCAAAGGUAACAUACAUAUCUACAUCAACACAAGUAUGGAAUGGGCAAUGUGCACAAGUCAGUUAAAGAUGAUUUUUUAUUUUACAUUUGAGCAGGUAAAAGCCAUUUGUCAACUUUAUAAGUCUGUUUGGACUCUAUAAUCAAAUUGUAAUAUAAAUCUCAAUCCAUGCCAUAUUAAAGGAUGGCAUGUAAUAAGAAAUCAUGAGGACUCUGUAGCCAACAAAAUUUAUCAUGUGUCAUCCAGUCUCAGAGCUAUUUCUGUGUCAAAGGAUCAGCUUACAUAUCACCUGUCCUGUAGUCUUUUUUGGCUUCCUCCCCCAUGUCUAUAACCAAGAUACUCAGGAGGUCUCCCCUGGCCAAAUCUUAUCUCUAUUAAUCUGGAAGGAAUCCACAGCCUUUCAUUUCCUGUGAAAACAAAAGCAUAAUCUUUCCCCCAACACAACAUAUUGUCCAACUUCGAUUUUGAAGUUAAGACAUUUUAAAAAUAUAUAGGUUGGCUUAAUUUAGCAGAUUCUACAAUCUAAUGUUUCUCAGCAGCUAUUGUUUUUUGUAUAUUCACAUUUAAAAAAUUCAAAGUUAACAAGACAACAUAUAGGAUCCAGACUCCCUAUGUAUUUUCCAUCCGUACAUGGCUUAUUUUUUUUUAAUUACUUUAUUCUUUCUUUACUUUAUUAUUUUUAAACUAUUUAUUUUUUCUAUGACUCUCUAUACCCAUGUUUUUUCCUUAAGGCCACACACAUUGUCAAACACACUGUUACCCAUUUAGCAGGUUGUUUUUGUUAUUGUUUGUUUGUUUAUUUUCAUCUGAACCUGUUUUACUGUGUGUCUGUAACCUUUUCUGUCUGCAUGAGCAAAACCUUAAACCCACCAUGUGGCUUAGUUCAUGGCAUAUUGGCCACUCAAGCACACAGGCAGCUGCUGGGAGAUGUGUCUCUGAACCACGGCUACAUGAGAGACACAAGAGUAGGAAGCAGUGUUUGGCUCUGUCUUUGUGUGUUUAGAAUCUUUUUUAAAGCUUUCUCAGGUCUUAUGUAGAUAUAUGUGGCCAGAUGUUGGGCGCCAUUUAUAGGUGUUUUUUUUUUCCAUCCCACCAGCUAGCACCUAAAUAACCACAUGGAGACUUCUUAUUAAUUAUGAAAGCUCGGCCAAUGGCUUAAACUUGCUCCUAACUAGUUCUUAUACCUUAAAUUAACUCAUAACUUUUAAUCUACGUUCUUUUAAGUGGCCUGGUUACCUUUACUCUGUACUCCCCAUCCUGCUUCCUCUCCAUCUGACUGGCGACUCCUGCAUCUCUGCCCUUCUUCCCAGCAUCAUCUCUGCCCCGAAAGUCCUGCCUAGCUAUUGGAUAUUUAGCUUUCUUUUUUUUUUUUUUAAAGAUUUAUUUAUUUAUUAUGUAUACAGUAUUCUGCCUACACACCAGAAGAGGGCACCAGAUCAAAUUACAGAUGGUUGUGAGCCACCAUGUGGUUGCUGGGAAUUGAACUCAGGACCUCGGGAAGAGCUGCCAGUGCUCUUAACCUCUGAGCCAUCUCUCCAGCCCCUUAGCUUUCUUUAAACCAAUCUUAGUGACAAGUUUUCACAAUGUACAAAAAGAUAUUCCCCAACAAGUCUCAAUACUAAAUUUUCAGUGGAUCUUUAAAAACUUAGUUGCCUAAGAAAACUUCAUUUCUUGGUGUUAUUUCUAGUGUGUUCACUUGGGGUAACUGAAAAGAGUGCCAAUAAGUCACAUAAUGACACACCUACACACACGGCCAUGCCAUCUUCAUGUUCAGUCAGAGACAAUACUUUCCAACUCAUUGUGUUUGAAGGUGAGUCUUAAACUUGAGGCUGUAUUUUUUGUAAAUGUACUUUGUAGAGAAGCACAAAUAGAUAAUUAGCCCCUGGAAAUGUCUUGUGUGUUCAUUAAGUAAGAAAACUCUGAGGUUGUAAAACCACACUCUCACACACACAAAAAUCAAGUAUUUUUCAGUCUCCACAGGGAAAAAAUAAACAUUUCUUAAAUAUUAAUUUUUUAAUUUGUAAUCUGUGUGGUCUUUGUGUCUUUAAUCGUACCAUUUGCAUGCAUUACCCAAGCAGUCCAGAAGAGGGCUUUGGAUCUCCCAUCUCCCGGAACUGGAGUUAGUGAAGGCUGUAAGCUGCCCCUAUGGGUGCUAGGAAUAGAACUCAGGUUGUCUGCAAGAGCAGAAAUUGCUCUUAACCACCAAACCGUUUCUCCAGCACUAAUUCUAUGUUUUUCACCUAUGUGAAUAUGGUGUGUGUGUGUGUGUGUGUGUGUGUGUG